rnacentral:rRNA from 1 species
CCUACGGGGGGCAGCAGUGAGGAAUAUUGGUCAAUGGACGAGAGUCUGAACCAGCCAAGUAGCGUGAAGGAUGACUGCCCUAUGGGUUGUAAACUUCUUUUAUAUGGGAAUAAAAUGUUCCACGUGUGGGAUUUUGUAUGUACCAUAUGAAUAAGGAUCGGCUAACUCCGUGCCAGCAGCCGCGGUAAUACGGAGGAUCCGGGCGUUAUCCGGAUUUAUUGGGUUUAAAGGGAGCGUAGGUGGAUUGUUAAGUCAGUUGUGAAAGUUUGCGGCUCAACCGUAAAAUUGCAGUUGAAACUGGCAGUCUUGAGUACAGUAGAGGUGGGCGGAAUUCGUGGUGUAGCGGUGAAAUGCUUAGAUAUCACGAAGAACUCCGAUUGCGAAGGCAGUUCACUGGACUGCAACUGACACUGAGGCUCGAAAGUGUGGGUAUCAAACAGGAUUAGAUACCCUUGUAGUC